GGAUCUUGGCGGCUGGACCAAUUAACUGGUCCAACCGUUCGAAAAACGGCCACUUGCUCGGCCCACUACCCGCAGCAAUCUUCGCUUUCUCCAAUUUAUACUUCUUCUUCACCGUAUCGAUUCGGUUCUUGCACUGAAUAUCAGUCUUCGCGGCCUUCGUAUAGUCUUCUCUGCUACUCACAAUAUCAGCAACUUCCUUCCAGUGUUUCUGCUUCAGGUUCCCUCUGCUCAGCUCCAAAUACCUCUCCCCCCACGCGUCUAUUAGCACCGCCGUCGCUCCCUCGCUCCAGCAAUCCUCCCUUCCGCCGCCGUUGGUCUUUGGUUGCUGGAUCGGGAGAGUUAGCGAUAAAUUGUUGUUGUUCUGCUGUUGAGACGGCUGCUGCUGAAGAUGAGAAGACGGAGGAGCGGCGGCGACCGUUACCGUAAUUCUUCCGUUGGGUGGAGACGGCGACGGUGAUCCGGUGGCCGCCGAUGUGUGCGACUGGAUCUCCUCAUCAUCGUCCAUAGUGAAGUAGUUACAAAAAUCAACGGCUUAGAUCUGAUGACUCCGAUAGCAGGUAAGAAGGAAUAAACAAACAGGGAAUAAAGAGAAAGGGAGAGUGUGCGUAUAUAUUAGAAACGUUGACGGGAAAUAUUGGGGACUGACGGGGAAGGAGAAGGUGGGGCAUGGAAGAUAGAGGGGAACGGGACACGUGGAGAGAACCGAAGUGGGAGAAAGGGUGAGGUGGAGGAAUAUGAUUGGGAGUGCGUAGGGAUUUCCGUCACCGGCGUGAUGGCGAGACUUGCCGGCUUGGUAGUUGAAGAGUGUUAACUUUAUCCGAGAAUUUGAAUUGACGGAAAACUCCAUGCUGUUUAAUGGGAAUUAACGCGAUUGCCUUUGGCAGCUACCCGCCAGUUUCCGGUGAUGGUCAUUGCCUAAAC
rnacentral:misc_RNA from 1 species